UACGAAGGGGGCUAGCGUUGCUCGUAAUCACUGGGCGUAAAGCGCACGUAGGCGGACUCUUAAGUCGGUGGUGAAAUCCUGGAGCUCAACUCCAGAACUGCCUUCGAUACUGAGAGUCUCGAGUCCGGGAGAGGUGAGUGGAACUGCGAGUGUAGAGGUGAAAUUCGUAGAUAUUCGCAAGAACACCAGUGGCGAAGGCGGCUCACUGGCCCGGUACUGACGCUGAGGUGCGAAAGCGUGGGAGCAAACAGG
rnacentral:rRNA from 1 species